CAAGGCUGGGAUCCACCUGAAACGUUUGCCGGCCCUCCUCUGGGGAACGCUCCACUCGGUCCUGUCCCCGGCUCCUGGCCUGACAGCGGCCAGGUCGGGCGAACCCUCCCCGUCCACCCCGCCCCUGCGACUUGGUGGCGGCGUGCGCGGGUUCCGCGCGGACCAGGACACAGUUCCUUCCUCUUUUAAUUUUUCAACACAGCAUUUAUCAUUACCCCAGUGUAAACACUGAUGCAGAGGAAGGUGAAGAAACUUGCACGGGGAUAUUCAGUGGCGGCGGUGUUCUCCGUCACCGCCUGCGCCAGCGACACCUGCCCUCCCUCCGCCUGCAGGGCAGAAUCCCCGCCCCUCUCCGUCCAGGGCGCCGCAGGUUCCCAGUCCGGAGCGGACCUUCUUUGCCUCACCUCUAAAAGCAUGAGGAGGUCUUUGAGUGUAUUAUAUAUCCCUUUAUGACUUUGGGGAAAAAAAGAAAGGAAAGCCCUAAAGGCCUACCGUGAUCAAUCUUUAUGUGAUCAAUUGUGUUUCCAUGGAGAGCAGAAGCCGAGGGUGGAGUCUACGUCUUGAUGGGGCUCACUUUGCUGCACACCCAUCUGUGGCCAACUACACCCAAAUCCAUGGCUGCACCCACACCUCUGCUCAGUCCCUGGAUGGUCCCUGCAGCCAUCCUCAAAGGGGCAACGUGAGUGCAUCCUCGUCUCAGUCACCGUGGAACCAUCUAGAUCUGUGGGCAGAAGCCAGAGGAUGAACCGUUGCCCACAUUCUGUUCUCUGAGUCAAAGAGGAGAAAGACCUGUCCAUCGAAACCGAACUGCCAAGAUCCACUGCUGUGUCCUUCAGCUUUCUGCUCACAAGACAUCCUGGUCUGCAGGGUGAGAGGUUCUGCCCCCAUCAAAGGAGAGAGAUCAAGUCUGGUCUUGACACAUUUUGAGGCCCCAUCCUGUUCCCCUUACAAUUUCCUGGCCUUACUCUCUGCCACAUCCUGGCCUUGCCUCUACACCUCUUGCAGGAAUUUAACAUGUUGGCAAAGCCCCUGGUGAAGUGCUCAUCUGCUAUGAGGAUGCCUUCCUGAAAUGAGGAUGCCUUGGACAAAGAGAUGGUCCACACAGCAAUAAAUAGAAAAUUUGAAAAUCUAAAGCAGAUAGUAGAGGGAGCUCACAGGCUCAGAGAAGAGCCCAUGACAGAGGGGUCUGAGUGUGAAAAUCCAGAACAAUUUCCAUCCACUGUGCUCAUGGGAAGCCUGGAGGACUCCCGUUUACCUGGCGUAUAAAGAAGGCCCCAUGAGAAGGCACCAGAAUGGGAUGAAGCUCAGGGAUGCCUACUGCAGAAGGCCAGGGUUGGGGGUAGGAGAUGCUGUUCCUGAAAUGGGCUCCCAGUAGUAAUGGGAUGAAAAAUCCUUAAAUAACAGAUUCCAGGUGGAGGCUGUCAACUGUCAGGAACAAGCAGGGUUCAGUGAUGGAAAUGAUUAGAGAAGUCACAAUGCCAGCUGGUGACCUCAGCCAUACAAAGCUUUGACCAUGGCUCAUAGAACAAAGGAGCUCAAGAUCCCAAAGAGAUGGAAACCCAACCCGGAUACUGCUGGAUUUAAGUAAUUACAACAAACACAGAUAAAACAAAUGAUGGAUGACCAGGAGGCUGAAAGUAGCCAGUCCAUCAAGAACAAGGCUGCUUUGCCCAAUUUACAUAAUUAAGUCACCUCUCAUACCCUGAACCCAUGACUACAAGAAGACACCAGUUUCCAGUGAGGAAGGACCCUUUAACCCCACAGUAAGAGCAAAUAUUCUUUGUGGCUUUCUCCAAAGAUAUUUAUGUCCACUAGAGUUUGCUGUGAAGGGCAAUUUUGUAAAUAUAUAAAGGUGUGCAGGGAAUACGUUCUCCUUUGUGACUACUCAACUCUGCUGGUGUAGCUCAAAAGCAGCCAUAAACAAUCCAUGGAUGAUGAGGGAUUAAGGGAUUAAUGCCUUAAGUGCCCAAUGACCCAAGACCCCUGAAUAUCCUAGAGGUACAUGUGGUUACAAUGUCUAAUUGGAAAAUCGCAAUAUAGAUUCCGUGUGAAUGUUCAGAGGCAAGGCAACGCCACUCACAUCAAGGAAAUCUCAACAUUAAAAAAUGACUCCUGUAGAGUACUGUGCCUUGGCAGAGAUGGGGCCUUUAGCCAUGGAAGGGCGGUGACCAUGCAGCCUCAGAGCUGCCCAUUACAGGUUGCCAUUGCCUGCUGUUGCUCUACAAAGUUACAGGACUUGACGCAGAGACGGAGAAUCCAAGGCCUGCAAAGAUCACAGGGC